GACGCUGGCGGCGUGCUUAACACAUGCAAGUCGAACGGAAAGGCCUCUUUCGGGGGGUACUCGAGUGGCGAACGGGUGAGUAACACGUGAGUAACCUGCCCUUGACUUUGGGAUAACUUCAGGAAACUGGGGCUAAUACCGGAUAGGAGCUCCUGCUGCAUGGUGGGGUUGGAAAGUUUCGGCGGUUGGGGAUGGACUCGCGGCUUAUCAGCUUGUUGGUGGGGUAGUGGCUUACCAAGGCUUUGACGGGUAGCCGGCCUGAGAGGGUGACCGGCCACAUUGGGACUGAGAUACGGCCCAGACUCCUACGGGAGGCAGCAGUGGGGAAUAUUGCACAAUGGGUGGAAGCCUGAUGCAGCAACGCCGUGUGCGGGAUGACGGCCUUCGGGUUGUAAACCGCUUUCGCUCAUGACGAAGCUUUGUGUGACGGUAGUGGGUAAAGAAGCACCGGCUAACUACGUG
rnacentral:rRNA from 1 species